ACUCCUGCGGGAGGCAGCAGUGGGGAAUUUUGGACACUGGGCGAAAGCCUGAUCCAGCAAUGCCGCGUGCAGGAUGAAGGCCUUCGGGUUGUAAACUGCUUUUGUACGGAACGAAAAAGCUCCUUCUAAUACAGGGGGCCCAUGACGGUACCGUAAGAAUAAGCACCGGCUAACUACGUGCCAGCAGCCGCGGUAAUACGUAGGGUGCGAGCGUUAAUCGGAAUUACUGGGCGUAAAGCGUGCGCAGGCGGUUAUGUAAGACAGAUGUGAAAUCCCCGGGCUCAACCUGGGAACUGCAUUUGUGACUGCAUGGCUAGAGUACGGUAGAGGGGGAUGGAAUUCCGCGUGUAGCAGUGAAAUGCGUAGAUAUGCGGAGGAACACCGAUGGCGAAGGCAAUCCCCUGGACCUGUACUGACGCUCAUGCACGAAAGCGUGGGGAGCAAACAGGAUUAGAUACCCGAGUAGUCC
rnacentral:rRNA from 1 species